AUUGAAUUUGAAACAUGUAGGACCAAGAAAAAUGGUUCCAACUCCAGAGACUAUCCAAGCAGUAAAUGCUGCCAUCAAGCAAAGUCCUCAAUGUUCUGCACGACAGUAUGCCAUGUCAUUAGGAUUAUCGUGUCGGAAUUUGGGAAGAAUAUUGCACGAAGAUUUAAAACUGCACCCAUAUACUGUAAGCUCCAGAUAAUCCAUGCAUUGAAAGAUAGCGAUGUUGACAAUUGAUGAACAUUUGCUGAAAUUCCAUUCUCAAAUACAGGAAUGUUACCUCGGAGGGAUGCCAUUUAGAGGAUGUUAUUUUCAAAAUGUAAGUUGUGUUUGUUGUUUUUGUAAAUGGCAUAAAUGUAUCUUUUUCUGCCCAGAAUUAUAUAUUAAUUCUGUGCAUUACAGCAUUUUCAAAUAUCCAUCCAAAGCACAAACUCCCCCUGGUGAUUAAAAAUAAUUAUUAAUUAG
rnacentral:lncRNA from 1 species